UGCUUGCUGUGAUGAACCACAAGGACGGUAUCUGAGUAAGGUUGCUCUUGAAAAGGCCCUCCUUCCUUGAUUAACAUCCUAAACUGAUCAUAAAUUCUUUGCAAGCA
rfam:Hordeum vulgare subsp. vulgare, WGS project CAJW01000000 data, contig: morex_contig_91486